GACGAACGCUGGCGGCGCGCCUAACACAUGCAAGUCGAACGGGACUGUUCAAUCGGAAGUUUUCGGACAGAAGAGUGGACAGUUUAGUGGCGAACGGGUGAGUAACGCGUGAGUAACCUGCCCUUCAGAGGGGGACAACAGUUGGAAACGACUGCUAAUACCGCAUAGCCCACGGUACCACAUGGUACAGUGAGAAAAGGAGAAAUCCGCUGAAAGAUGGACUCGCGUCUGAUUAGAUAGUUGGUGGGGUAACGGCCUACCAAGUCGACGAUCAGUAGCCGGACUGAGAGGUUGAACGGCCACAUUGGGACUGAGAGACGGCCCAGACUCCUACGGGAGGCAGCAGUGGGGAAUAUUGCACAAUGGGGGGAACCCUGAUGCAGCGACGCCGCGUGAAGGAAGAAGGUAUUCGUAUUGUAAACUUCUGUCGCAGAUGACGAAAAGAUGACGGUAAUCUGCAAGAAAGCACCGGCUAACUACGUGCCAGCAGCCGCGGUAAAACGUAGGGUGCUAGCGUUGUCCGGAAUUACUGGGUGUAAAGGGAGCGCAGGUGGCAGUGCAAGUUGGAUGUAAAAUCUACGGGCUCAACCCGUAUAAGCAUUCAAAACUGUGCAGCUUGAGUGAAGUAGAGGUAGGUGGAAUUUCCGGUGUAGCGGUGGAAUGCGUAGAUAUCGGAAGGAACAUCAGUGGCGAAGGCGACCUACUGGGCUUUAACUGACGCUGAGGCUCGAAAGCAUGGGUAGCAAACAGGAUUAGAUACCCUGGUAGUCCAUGCUGUAAACGAUGAUUACUAGGUGUGGGGGCGAAAGAUUCCGUGCCGGAGUUAACACAAUAAGUAAUCCACCUGGGGAGUACGACCGCAAGGUUGAAACUCAAAGGAAUUGACGGGGGCCCGCACAAGCAGUGGAGUAUGUGGUUUAAUUUGAAGCAACGCGAAGAACCUUACCAGGUCUUGACAUCGUGCGCAUAGGCAAGAGAUUGCUGAAAUCACUCUUUGAGUGACGUAUAGACAGGUGGUGCAUGGUUGUCGUCAGCUCGUGUCGUGAGAUGUUGGGUUAAGUCCCGCAACGAGCGCAACCCUUAUCAUUAGUUAUUACGAAAGAGGACUCUAAUGAGACUGCCGUUGAGAAAACGGAGGAAGGUGGGGAUGACGUCAAAUCAUCAUGCCCUUUAUGACCUGGGCUACACACGUACUACAAUGGCUGUCAACAAAGUGAACCAAAUACGCGAGUAAGAGGGAAACACAAAAAACAGUCACAGUUCGGAUUGUAGGAUGCAACUCGCCUACAUGAAGCCGGAAUUGCUAGUAAUCGCGGAUCAGCAUGCCGCGGUGAAUAAAAUGCCGGGCCUUGCACU
rnacentral:rRNA from 1 species